AUGAGCAGGAGUUUCUUAAAGAGACAGAGACCCAUUUUCAAGAUGUUCAAGGAAGUAAAAGUUCUUUAAAGUUAUAUUUAUACAUACAGCAUUGUGCUACAAAAUGACGCCAUGUGGCUGGAAAACACAAAAUACUGAACCGAACAAAACCGAACCGGACCGGACCGAACCAAACCAAACCGUCUGCCGUCCAGGAAGGGAACGUUUUUUUAUCCCAGGAUGCAACAGUAAACGACGCUGAAUGGAAAACCUUUUCAAACUCACUUGUUGAUGAAUUUCUGAUUCUGGAUUAAAACGAGCAGCGAUGUAAUUUUUAAAAAACCCAAACCAGCCAACUGAUCUCCAGCUUUUCCUUCAGGAUCUGUUUUUAGAGUCAUUUCAUGUCACAGAACCUGCAGAACUGCGGGUCGGUUCUGAUCCGCUCUGACCUCCAGGCUCAGAGGUCGCUGUAAUCCAGUAAUUACAUUUAGCAGCUGCAUUCGCUGCUGUGAUCACAACAUUUUAAUCUCUCAUCCAGAAGCAUUAAAAAGGCAUCCAGGCUUCAUCCUUGGUGCUUCAGCCGCUUCUGCUUUUCAGGUUCAGACGGCCUGUAAUUUUGUAAUUUUUUAGUAAUUCCCAGCUGGAUUAGCUGCAUCAACCUGGAAUAAAGUCGGUAAUCUGAUCAUCAGCAGAUUCCCCGAAGAGGACGAUGCGUUUCUCAGCAUGCAGGGGAAACGUGUUGGGAGUCAGAGCAUCUAUUCCAGCCGCACCAACAUCUAAUUGAAUCUAAUUUGGACAAUUAAAGUGAAAUUGGUCCAGCAGAAAGUAUUGAACUGGUUAUCUGUAGCAAUUAGAUGGUAAUUGGCCCAUUGUUAUCUUUACAAGUCUCCUGGAAGAGGCCGGCUCUCAGACAGAACCUUUCUGUUUCCAUCCUGCAGCCGAGCUGAACCCACUCAGCUCCUCACACAGAGGACAGCAGACUGAGGGCGGUCCGUAUGUCGGGACCAGAGGUCAAAGGUCCUGACCCCACAGACCAGAGCGAUACCCUAAUUAAUGCAGCCUGGUCUCUGCUCCAUCUGCUGCUCCAUCCUGGCCUCACCCAGGACCUGCAGGCUGGCUGCAGUUUCAUGUGGAGUUUUUCCAUCGCUGGUCGGUUCGAGUCUGAGGCCUGACGGAAAACUGGAGGCAAAAUAAAAGAAUGAAAACGAAACAAACAAAAAAUACACAUUAGAGGGUUAAUAUCUGAAACUCUUCCUUUAACUGAGCCAGGUUCUGGUUCUGGUUCUACUGGGGCUUUCUCCCUGUUAACGGGGUGUUUUCCUCUCCACUGUCGCCCCCUGCUGGUCAGGAGGACUAAAUGCUGCAAGCCAAUUAUUUGAUGCUCUGAUGGGGUUAAUUAGAGAGAAACUUUGAAACUAAUUUUAUUUAAACGCACUGGAUUAAUGAGAAUAAAUGUGAUUGAACUGAAAUAAUUAGUUUGUUUGUUUGUUUGUUGCUAUAGAAACAAUCAGUUUGAACCUCUGGAUCUCUCAGCUCACAGUCUGUAUUAUCAUGUUCCUCACGGCUCGCCUGCUCUGCUGAUGGAUGAACUCACGCGAAUAUUAAUUUACUGUAGCAUUAACAAUAUCACAUCUUUCCCCCGCCCCCUGCUGCUCUGCCCUCCAAACACCCUUCAGCCUCAUCAUGGCUCCUCUUUAACUCUCCGUUAACUCUUUACUGGAGCGGCUAACUCUGCAGCCAAUCAGCUCUCCAUCUGGAGUCCAAAUGAAACCUUCAGACAAAUGUUCGGCCGCAGCCGAUGCAUCCUGCAGUCAUAAAUCCGUUCUCCCAGGACCCAUAAAGUCCUCCCCUCUGAGGGGAAAUGUUGCAGCAAUCUGCAUAAUUCAUGCAGCGCGUCGUUUAAUGCGACUCCUAAAAAUAUUCACCUUCACCUUCUGUCAAAGUCACAGUUUGGUUUUCUCAAACCGCUCAUUUUUUGUUAAAAUACGUAAAACUGACUUUGUAAAGACAGACUGAGUAAAGUUACCUUUGUUUAUUGUAACUACAUGCUUUUAUUUUGGUAACUUUAUUGUGAACGUCGCAGUUCUACAGGAAAAGGAUAAAAAUCAACUCAGUCGAUAAGAACUGAAAUGUUGUGAUAAACUUUGAGUUUGAACCUCAGAAUAUUUAUGUUUCACAUCAUUUUUAAUGUUUUUCCCUCAUCAGAAAAAACCUGCAGCUGCUUUGACUUUAAUGUAGACGAGUGAAAAACAAGUUUCUAUAGGUAAUGAAAACAUGAAGCAUAAAAAUAGGCACACAACAUUAAUUUUUGUUUUCCAGCCUUAAUUUGUCAUUUCAGUUUUUCGGUGCGAUUCCACGUACAACCGCUAGGGGCGCCUGUCGCAUUGGUGGCACAGAGGAAGAAGAAACCUUCCUGUCAGAUGCUAAUGGAAGCUCACAGCGUGUCUCAUCUUUUCUGUGUCAGAGGAGAUCCCAGGCUUGUAGAACAGCGCAAACAUGACAGGAAUGGACUCCUCGUCUUCCUCAUCUCCCUCGCUGUGUCCCUCUGGGUUUCCUCUCAGCCUUCAAGCGGCACAGCGCUGCAGACUGGAAGAGAUUCAGAGGUUUUCUAAGGCUGGUUGGACGCCUGAUGGGAGGAAUGAUCUGAGCGGGUUUUGGUUCCAUUCUGGUAAAAUGAACAGAACCGGAUUCGGGUCCAGAUGGUUUGGAAGGUAAAACAUCAGAUUCCCAGCGAUGUGAGUUUAAUGAACUAAAGUUUGGCUCAUGAUGACGUUCAGUUUUAUCUUCAGCUGUUGCUGAAACAGAAACAAACGGCGGCCGGGUUCCAAAUGCUGCGGCUUGUUAUGCGAAUGAGAUCAGAGCCUCGAUUGAAACGAUGAUGAAUCGUCAGAACCGCUCCGGUUCUGGUCCAAACCACUGAUCCUGAUCCAGAUAAGAAAUCUGCUGGUCUAACUAAGAGAACAGCAGAACUCCAGUAAGUCUGACGGUUCCAGUCGCUGCGUUUCCAUUCAACUUUUAGUUGCACGAUUUGACAUUUUGGGAACAAAAUGUCAACAACCAGAUAUUGACCAACAUCUGGUUGUUGCUACUGGAGGAAACCAUGAAGAAGAAGAAGACAGGAAGUGGUUGGAGGAUGAUGGAGCUGAAUGUUGAUGAAUAACUGAUGUGAACAAACUUAUUCACAUGUGAUUUUAAUCACAUUUUUAGUAGAAAAACUAAUAUUGAAAAAUAGUUUUAUUAACUUUAGCAUAGAAAAUGUUUUCAUACACGUUUGUGUUUCUGAUCCAGAACUCCAUGAAUCCCAUUUUGGGUUUGGGGGUUGGCUGGCCUCUCGCUUCUGGACCCGUCCAGUGGUUCUGGUGGUUUUGUCUCUAGUGAACUGUUGUUCGCCUUACAGCGCUGACAGCCUUUAAUCCAUAAAACAUCCCAUAAUAAUCCACCGGCUGUCACAGCUUUGACUCUGAGUGGAGAAAAUGUGUUUGUCUCCAGGUUGGAGAAGCUCACCGUGUGUGUGUGUGUGUGUGUCUGUGUGUGUCGGUGUGUGUGUGUGUGUGUCGGUGUGUGUGUGUCGGUGUGUGGGUGUGUGUGUGUCGGUGUGUAUUCAGCCCACGUAUUGUUUCAGAGUUGAUUCCUGACAGGUUUCCAGUCGUCUGAUGUUUCGUGCGAAGCGGCAGAGAACGGAGGAUCUUCAUCGUGUCAGACUUCCUGUUCAGGUUCACUCGGAGGCCGGGCCGCCAGGUUCCAGCGCCGGUUCUGGGUCGGGUCAGGAGGAGGUGAAGCAAUGCUGUAAAGUUUCUUCAUCACGGUGAAGAUGACUCUGAUUUUAAAUAAUCUGUUUUCAGUCUUUUGGUUGUGAACGUCUCUGAGAGCAGAGAGGUUCCAUCCAGUCUCUCCUGCUGCGUUGAUAGAUUCUGUUUGGUCACAUUUUUCAGUUUUCUCUGAUCCUUUUUACGGUUUUUAACUUUCACAUCGUCAUGAACUUCCAGAUAACCAGGUUCAUGAAUCCAUCUUUUUUUUUUUCAACGGGGAUUUCGUUUUCUAAGUUCAAGGAGUGAGGAUGUUUGGUUGUUGGGUUUGUGAACUAAACCGUCCUCCAGCACCAGAACCGCUAAAGUUAAACUUUAUUUUACUUUUGAAUGUUCCCCAUCAGCAGGGAAAUGUUUCAUAAAACUUUAGAAACCUCCACCAGAGGGAAGAUUUACCAAAAGUCUUCGUCUGGUUGACGGUUCAGUUCCUUCUGUCUCCAUGGAAACGACGGAUGCAGGAAAGCGCUACGCUGCUAACAAUGCUAAAAUGACAACAACCUUUACUUCAGACGAGCCUCCGUGCCGCCCGGCCUCCAGUCUUCCUGCUCCCUCUUUCAUCUGGCUCUCCGUCCUCUCAUCCCUCCAUCUCUGCGCUGCGAGGCUCGCUCUGUGAAGGAGAAUCAUCGCAGCCUUUGAACGGGACUCUACGGCGCUCCAGGUGCUGCAUGUUAUCUCCUUCCUGUUUGGGAGCGAGGAGAGCUGCGUAUAAUUCCCGCGCUCCGCCGAGAGGAAGGACAACAGAGGAAGGACCUGUGGGAGAAGCUGAGAUGAAACGGCGUCCUCGUCUUCACCUCCUUCAGUACCAUUCAGGUUCUCCUUUCUGUCUCUGAUGCUCUGUUGCUGCUGGAAGGAGAUGAAACGCAGGCAUGAAAAAGUUUCACCUGUUUUUCUUCUUUCUACCAGGUGAAGCAUUAUUUUACUGAUUCUGUUCAUUUGAACAACUUCAGACUAGCAUCAGGUUUUAUCACUGGAAACAAUAAAACUGUGUUUAUCCUUAAACAGUUUUAUUCUCUGUUAGGAUCCGUGUUGGUGUGAACUUUGAGGUUCUGCUUUGUUCUCAUAAAUCUCGCCGCAUCCUUCA